rnacentral:rRNA from 1 species
CAAUAGCGUAUAUUAAAGUUGUUGCAGUUAAAAAGCUCGUAGUUGGAUUUCUGGUUGGCAUGUGUGGUCCUGCGCAAGCGGCGAACUAUGUGUGCUGGCCUUCCUCUCAAAGACUGCGUGGUGCUUUACCGUGCUGCGUAAGGAUUUGGGACCUUUACUUUGAAAAAAUUAGAGUGUUCAAAGCAGGCCAAUGCUUGAAUACAUUAGCAUGGAAUAAUGGAAUAGGACUUUGAUUCUAUUUUGUUGGUUUCUAGAGUUGAAGUAAUGAUUAAUAGGGACAGUUGGGGGCAUUAGUAUUUAAUUGUCAGAGGUGAAAUUCUUGGAUUUAUGAAAGACUAACUACUGCGAAAGCAUUUGCCAAGGAUGUUUUCAUUA